rnacentral:rRNA from 1 species
UACGAAGGGGGCUAGCGUUGCUCGGAAUGACUGGGCGUAAAGGGCGCGUAGGCGGCUUGCACAGUCAGGCGUGAAAUUCCUGGGCUCAACCUGGGGGCUGCGCUUGAGACGUGUGGGCUUGAGUGGGGAAGAGGGUCGUGGAAUUCCCAGUGUAGAGGUGAAAUUCGUAGAUAUUGGGAAGAACACCGGUGGCGAAGGCGGCCUGCUGGGCAGUAGCUGACACUAAGGCGCGACAGCGUGGGGAGCAAACAGG